rnacentral:rRNA from 1 species
UACGUAGGGUGCGAGCGUUAAUCGGAAUUACUGGGCGUAAAGCGUGCGCAGGCGGUCUGUUAAGACCCGAUGUGAAAUCCCCGGGCUUAACCUGGGAACUGCAUUGGUGACUGGCAGGCUUUGAGUGUGGCAGAGGGAGGUAGAAUUCCACGUGUAGCAGUGAAAUGCGUAGAGAUGUGGAGGAAUACCGAUGGCGAAGGCAGCCUCCUGGGCCAACACUGACGCUCAUGCACGAAAGCGUGGGGAGCAAACAGG